rnacentral:rRNA from 1 species
AUUGAACGCUGGCGGCGUGCCUAACACAUGCAAGUCGAGCGGUAACAGGUGUAGCAAUACAUGCUGACGAGCGGCGAACGGGUGAGUAAUGCUUCGGAAUCUACCCAAUGGUGGGGAAUAACCAGCCGAAAGGUUGGCUAAUACCGCAUACGUCCCACGGGAGAAAGCAGGGGAUCGCAAGACCUUGCGCCAAUGGAUGAGCCGAAGUCGGAUUAGCUAGNGGUAGGGUAACGGCCUACCAAGGCGACGAUCCGUAGCUGGUCUGAGAGGACGACCAGCCACACUGGGACUGAGACACGGCCCAGACUCCUACGGGAGGCAGCAGUGGGGAAUAUUGGACAAUGGGGGAAACCCUGAUCCAGCGACGCCGCGUGUGUGAAGAAGG